rnacentral:rRNA from 1 species
AGGAAAGUAGGGGAUCGCAAGACCUUGCGCUUUUGGAGCGGCCGAUGUCUGACUAGCUAGUUGGUGAGGUAAAGGCUUACCAAGGCUUCGAUCAGUAGCUGGUCUGAGAGGACGACCAGCCACACUGGGACUGAGACACGGCCCAGACUCCUACGGGAGGCAGCAGUGGGGAAUUUUGGACAAUGGGGGAAACCCUGAUCCAGCCAUGCCGCGUGAGUGAAGAAGGCCUUCGGGUUGUAAAGCUCUUUCAGCCGGAACGAAAAGGUUACGGUUAAUACCCGUGACUAAUGACGGUACCGGAAGAAGAAGCACCGGCUAACUACGUGCCAGCAGCCGCGGUAAUACGUAGGGUGCGAGCGUUAAUCGGAAUUACUGGGCGUAAAGCGUGCGCAGGCGGUUUUGUAAGUCAGAUGUGAAAUCCCCGGGCUCAACCUGGGAACUGCGUUUGAAACUACAAGGCU